rnacentral:rRNA from 1 species
GAUCCGGUGGUUCUGAAUGGAAGGGCCAUCGCUCAACGGAUAAAAGGUACUCCGGGGAUAACAGGCUGAUACCGCCCAAGAGUUCAUAUCGACGGCGGUGUUUGGCACCUCGAUGUCGGCUCAUCACAUCCUGGAGCUGAAGUAGGUCCCAAGGGUAUGGCUGUUCGCCAUUUAAAGUGGUACGCGAGCUGGGUUUAGAACGUCGUGAGACAGUUCGGUCCCUAUCUGCCGUGGGCGCUGGAGAACUGAGGGGGGCUGCUCCUAGUACGAGAGGACCGGAGUGGACGCAUCACUGGUGUUCGGGUUGUCAUGCCAAUGGCACUGCCCGGUAGCUAAAUGCGGAAGAGAUAAGUGCUGAAAGCAUCUAAGCACGAAACUUGCCCCGAGAUGAGUUCUCCCUGACUCCUUGAGAGUCCUGAAGGAACGUUGAAGACGACGACGUUGAUAGGCCGGGUGUGUAAGCGCAGCGAUGCGUUGAGCUAACCGGUACUAAUGAACCGUGAGGCUUAACCUUACAACGCCGAAG